UUGCAUGGAGGAACUCUGAUGCAGCGAUGCCGCGUGAGUGAAGAAGGCCUUUGGGUUGUAAAGCUCUUUUGUAGGGGAAGAUAAUGACUGUACCCUAAGAAUAAGGUCCGGCUAACUUCGUGCCAGCAGCCGCGGUAAUACGAAGGGACCUAGCGUAGUUCGGAAUUACUGGGCGUAAAGCGCGCGUAGGCCGUUGAGUUAGUUAAUUGUGAAAUCCCAAAGCUUAACUUUGGAACUGCAAUUAAAACUGCUCGACUAGAGUUUGAUAGAGGAAAGCGGAAUACAUAGUGUAGAGGUGAAAUUCGUAGAUAUUAUGUAGAACACCAGUUGCGAAGGCGGCUUUCUGGGUCAACACUGACGCUGAGGCGCGAAAGUAUGGGUAGCAAAGAGGAUUAGAUACCCUCGUAGUCCAUACCAUAAACGAUGAUUGCUAGAUGUUGGAAAUUUAUUUUCAGUAUCGCAGCUAACGCAUUAAGCAAUCCGCCUGGGGAGUACGACCGCAAGGUUAAAACUCAAAUGAAUUGACGGGGACCCGCACAAGCGGUGGAGCAUGUGGUUUAAUUCGAAGAUACGCGCAGAAC
rnacentral:rRNA from 1 species